UACGGGGGGGGGCAAGCGUUGUUCGGAAUUACUGGGCGGAAAGGGCGCGUCGGCGGCCUGUUAAGUCGAACGUGAAAUCCCCGGGCUCAACCCGGGAACUGCGUCCGAUACUGGCAGGCUUGAAUCCGGGAGAGGGAUGCGGAAUUCCAGGUGUAGCGGUGAAAUGCGUAGAUAUCUGGAGGAACACCGGUGGCGAAGGCGGCAUCCUGGACCGGCAUUGACGCUGAGGCGCGAAAGCCAGGGGAGCAAACGGG
rnacentral:rRNA from 1 species